AGGGUACUUCCUCUGUUUUAAAAUUUUUGUCUUAGAUUUGUCUAAAUAAGGAUGUAUCAAGUCAUCUUUUAGUAUUAGAUACAUCCGUAUCUAGGCAAAUCUAAGACAAGAAUUUUAGGAUGAAGGGAGUAUAUA
rfam:Triticum aestivum genome assembly, contig: Triticum_aestivum_CS42_TGACv1_scaffold_423336_5BS